rnacentral:rRNA from 1 species
GCCGGUGACCAUACUGCGAGGGAUCACCCGUUCCCAUCCCGAACACGGAAGUUAAGCCUCGCUGGGCCGAUGGUACUGCACGGGCGACUGUGUGGGAGAUUAGGUGAUCGCCGGCA